GGGGAAUAUUGCACAAUGGGCGAAAGCCUGAUGCAGCGACGCCGCGUGCGGGAUGAAGGCCUUCGGGUUGUAAACCGCUUUUGAUUGGGAGCAAGCGAGAGUGAGUGUACCUUUCGAAUAAGCACCGGCUAACUACGUGCCAGCAGCCGCGGUAAUACGUAGGGUGCAAGCGUUAUCCGGAAUUAUUGGGCGUAAAGAGCUCGUAGGCGGUUUGUCGCGUCUGGUGUGAAAGUCCAUCGCUUAACGGUGGAUCUGCGCCGGGUACGGGCAGGCUAGAGUGCGACAGGGGAGACUGGAAUUCCCGGUGUAACGGUGGAAUGUGUAGAUAUCGGGAAGAACACCAAUGGCGAAGGCAGGUCUCUGGGUCGUCACUGACGCUGAGGAGCGAAAGCGUGGGGAGCGAACAGGAUUAGAUACC
rnacentral:rRNA from 1 species